rnacentral:rRNA from 1 species
CACGUGGGUAAUCUACCCUUCAGUGGGGAACAACCAUCCGAAAGGAGGCCUACUACCGCAUACGUCCACAGUCUCUGCGGGGAUGGGGGGAAAAGCUGGCCUCUGUUUCAUGCUGGCGCUGGAGGAGGAGCCCGCGGCGCAUCAGCUUGAUGGUGGGGUAAUGGCCUACCAUGGCAAAGACGCGUAGCUGGUCUGAGAGGAUGAUCAGCCACACUGGGACUGAGACACGGCCCAGACUCCUACGGGAGGCAGCAGUGGGGAAUAUUGGACAAUGGGCGAAAGCCUGAUCCAGCCAUGCCG